rnacentral:misc_RNA from 1 species
AGAGUUAAACAGUACGUGAAAUUGUUGAAAGGGAAACGAUUGAAGUCAGUCAUGCUAGUAGGAAAUCAACGUGGUGUUUUUCUCCGCGUGUACUUUUUUGCUUGGCAGGUUAGCAUCAAUUUUGGUUGUCAUCAAAAAAUUGGGGGAAUGUGGCUUCUUUUCGGAGAAGUGUUAUAGACCUUGAUAGAUGUGACGACUGGGAUUGAGGAUUGCAGCGGAUGCCUUUGGCUAGUCACCUGUCUUCUGACGGUCACCUCGCUUUCAACAGCUUGCUGAUGAUUGUGGGAUUUGGCUGUCUAGAAGGUGGAAUGAUCAUAAAUUCGCUAAGGAUGCUGACGUAAUGGCUUUAAACGA